rnacentral:miRNA from 1 species
ACAUGCAUGUGUGCAUGUGCAUGUGUGUGCACGCGCACGCACAUACACACACAUACAC